UACGGGGGGAGCAAGCGUUGUUCGGAUUUACUGGGCGUAAAGGGCGCGUAGGCGGCAAUUCAAGUCAUCUGUGAAAUCUCCGGGCUUAACCCGGAACGGUCAGAUGAUACUGCUUUGCUAGAGUGCGGAAGGGGCAAUCGGAAUUCCUGGUGUAGCGGUGAAAUGCGCAGAUAUCAGGAGGAACACCGGUGGCGAAGGCGGAACUCUGGGCCGUAACUGACGCUGAGGAGCGAAAGCAUGGGGAGCGAACAGG
rnacentral:rRNA from 1 species